UACGAGUGCUCCAAGCGUUAUCCGGAAUCAUUGGGCGUAAAGGGCUCGUAGGCGGUUUGUCACGUCGGGAGUGAAAACUCAGGGCUCAACCCUGAGCGUGCUUCCGAUACGGGCAGACUAGAGGUAUGCAGGGGAGAACGGAAUUCCUGGUGUAGCGGUGGAAUGCGCAGAUAUCAGGAGGAACACCGGUGGCGAAGGCGGUUCUCUGGGCAUUACCUGACGCUGAGGAGCGAAAGCAUGGGGAGCGAACAGG
rnacentral:rRNA from 1 species